rnacentral:lncRNA from 1 species
CACCUUGCCCUCCUGUUUUCAACUCUAGGAAUUUUUUUAAGGCUGUCGUCUUGAGAUGGGCGAAAACAACCCAGCAGUAGAAGCUUCACGUCUUCCCAAGUUCUCAUGGGUUGUCUGCUAUAUCCUCCCAUUGGUACCAGGCAAGUGCUGCCCUUCAAAACAAAUGGCAACAGCUUCCACUUGUUCCCAAUUUGAAAGGCGAUGCAUGUUGAAGUAUCUCUUAGCCCGGAAACAUCCACCCAUUAGGAUCUUCACCAUUGAACACCGGCAUUUCUAAUCGGCGACUUUGAUUUCCGACUUGGUUGGCUUCAUCUCAACGUCCCCUAAUUUCAGUAUUUUUGCCUGACCCUUGAGAGGUGACCAAAUUGUCCCGGUUCUUUGUCGUGUCUGGUGAAUUGGUUUCCACUCCUUUUUCCUUCUUGUCACGUUCCAACACAUCCCACUUUUUCAUCAUCAGAUUGAAUUUCUUUAGCAACUCAGACACUCCGUUCUCAGGCCUCCAUCCUUCUUGCAUCCCUUCGACCCUUGUUCCCAACACAUCCAUACGAACCGUGAGUGUCAUCUCCCAGGUUGAUGCUUUGACACCAAAUUGUUAGGACCUAGGCCUGUGAUACAACCAACCAAAGUGACUGUGAACAAUGAGCAAGGAUCAGAAUUGAAUUAUAAUAAUAAAGCUAAAUGCGGGAAUUGGAUUUUGAAGAUAACAGCUUAUUGAAGACUGAACAACAAGAUAACAAUUCACAGGCUAUUUAAGAUGCAUGGAAUCCCUCCUAUCUAACUGAAAACUCAAUCAAACAAUGCCUGACUAUGACCUUUCCCUCCGUCACAUUUUAUAGACAUUCUCCCAUCAAUAUUACUCUUUUACCCCGCUCACUGACUGAUUUGGUGGAAUAUUCUGGAAUAUGCUGGCUGACUUGGCUGCCUCACUUCAUUCUUUCCUCUUUUUGCGUAAGUGAAACAUAUAGGGGGUCUACCAUAAACCUAACCUGUCUUGAAAAA